GGGACAUUUGUCACCGUGAGAGGAAGUGUGGCGCUGGAUGAGGAAGUCAGGAGUGACAUGCAAGUGAGUGUGACAUGUACUGUAUGAGGACGCCGGCAAGAGAGAGGGUGAUGGGUGCCUUUCUUAAGGUGGAGCUGCAACUCCUGCUCCUCCGUCGCCGCCGCGAACGCCACCCAUGGAUUUCCUGUGACGCGUGUUUACCACAGGUGGAGAGGCCGUCUGACUCACACGCAGGCUCCCAGUUAAAUCACAGCUCAAUGAAGGAAAAUGUUAAAUCACUUGGUGUAGCUCUUCACAUGGGACCUAGAGUUGAGCAGAGUCAAAGGAAUAAAAACAGCUACAUUCAAAGGCGAUUUUAAAACGGCAAAAGGCCCGGUGAUGUCCUCAGAACUGUGGCUGGUCUGACCCCACCGUCUCACCUCAUCACAUCUACACCUCGGCUUCUGCCUCCUCAGAUCCUCACGAGUCCUUGUACGCUCUUCCAAAGUCAAAGCUGCGAUCCAAAAGGUGAUCGAACAUUUGCCAUCAGGCCAACAGGAAGCCGCCGCCGCCGCCGCUGCCUGCCUGAGGAGAUAAGACUCACCAGAGCUGUCUUUAUCUUCCCAGGAGCCAUAUCUCGGGGGGUAUACCAAUAAAGUUAUUAAACAUUUCACGCCGGGGUCUGAGCUGUGCUGGGAUGUUCCAUUAGUUAAUCUAACUCAAAGUCAUUUAACGCUGAGUUUAUGAGCGAAAACUGAAAGAAGACUUGAAAGUGUUUUGGGAUAUACGAAUAUGAAUAUUGUAAAUAUUUCACCCUGCACCCGAACACACCUGCGCCUGGGUCCGUCCCUGGUGUCUGGGCUCGCCACAGAGCCGCGCGGGUGGCUGCGCUCCACUUGACACGUGGCUCCAUUUUCUCAGCGAAGACACGGAGGAUGAGCACGGCUGCACGCUGUGAUGGCUUAAUUAUGGCGGCACUGGGGAGGAUGUGGAGGCGACUGCGAGGAAACAAGGGGAGAUGUGCUGAUAAGCUGCUCCUGGACCGUUGGCAUGAGGCGGCGGAGAGAAGUGCCAUGGCUGCGUUUACACAAGGAAGAAAAAGGUGGAAACCAAAAAGACAAGUGAUUUCGAGCGGACUGGACUCGGAGAAUGCAUGAAAACGUGACGUGUUUUUGGUAACGUGGCUCUGUUCACGUGCAUUUGGAUGGAUGCCAAGUUCAACGUUCAAACAAUGUGUUGAAUACGAAUG